rnacentral:rRNA from 1 species
AGAGUUUCCUUCUGGGUCAGGACGAACGCUGGCGGCGUGCCUAAUACAUGCAAGUCGAGCGAGCUUGCCUAGAUGAUUUUAGUGCUUGCACUAAAUGAAACUAGAUACAAGCGAGCGGCGGACGGGUGAGUAACACGUGGGUAACCUGCCCAAGAGACUGGGAUAACACCUGGAAACAGAUGCUAAUACCGGAUAACAACACUAGACGCAUGUCUAGAGUUUGAAAGAUGGUUCUGCUAUCACUCUUGGAUGGACCUGCGGUGCAUUAGCUAGUUGGUAAGGUAACGGCUUACCAAGGCAAUGAUGCAUAGCCGAGUUGAGAGACUGAUCGGCCACAUUGGGACUGAGACACGGCCCAAACUCCUACGGGAGGCAGCAGUAGGGAAUCUUCCACAAUGGACGAAAGUCUGAUGGAGCAACGCCGCGUGAGUGAAGAAGGGUUUCGGCUCGUAAAGCUCUGUUGGUAGUGAAGAAAGAUAGAGGUAGUAACUGGCCUUUAUUUGACGGUAAUUACUUAGAAAGUCACGGCUAACUACGUGCCAGCAGCCGCGGUAAUACGUAGGUGGCAAGCGUUGUCCGGAUUUAUUGGGCGUAAAGCGAGUGCAGGCGGUUCAAUAAGUCUGAUGUGAAAGCCUUCGGCUCAACCGGAGAAUUGCAUCAGAAACUGUUGAACUGGAGUGCAGAAGAGGAGAGUGGAACUCCAUGUGUAGCGGUGGAAUGCGUAGAUAUAUGGAAGAACACCAGUGGCGAAGGCGGCUCUCUGGUCUGCAACUGACGCUGAGGCUCGAAAGCAUGGGUAGCGAACAGGAUUAGAUACCCUGGUAGUCCAUGCCGUAAACGAUGAGU